rnacentral:rRNA from 1 species
UAUAUGGUCAAGAAGAGAAGCGCAAACGGUGGAUGCCUUGGCAGUAAGAGGCGAAGAAGGACGUGGAAUCCUGCGAAAAGCUAUGGGGAGCUGGAAACGAGCGAUGAGCCAUAGAUGUCCGAAUGGGGGAACCCGGCUGCAGCGAUGCGGUCAUUUGCAUUUGAAUACAUAGGAUGCAAAGGCGAACUCGGGGAACUGAAACAUCUAAGUACCCGAAGGAAAAGAAAUCAAGAG